UACGAAGGGUGCAAGCGUUACUCGGAAUUACUGGGCGUAAAGCGUGCGUAGGUGGUUCGUUAAGUCCGAUGUGAAAACCCGGGGCUCAACUCCGGGCCUGCAUUCGAUACGGGCAGACUAGAGUUCGGUAGGGGAGACUGGAAUUCCUGGUGUAGCGGUGAAAUGCGCAGAUAUCUGGAGGAACACCGGUGGCGAAGGCGGCAUCCUGGACCAAUUCUGACACUGAGGAGCGAAAGCCAGGGGAGCAAACGGG
rnacentral:rRNA from 1 species